AAUUUUAUUGAAUGUUUCCAGGUGUAAAUCUUCAGGAAAAUGUAUCUCAAAGGCUAAUAGAUGUGAUGGCACCAAAGACUGCUCCCUUGGUGAAGAUGAAGAAAAAUGUCAUGCAACGGGACGAAAAGGUUGCCCACCUGAUACUUUUCAAUGUAGAGAUGGAAAAUGUUUACCUGAAUAUGAAUUCUGCAAUGCUAUCAUAGGUUGCAGUGAUGGUAGCGACGAACCUCCACAUAUUUGCAAAGGACGUGCGAGGAGGAGAAGGACAGAGUAUUGUCCUCUUAGGUGCGGUAACGGAAGAUGCAGAUCAAGUGCUAUAGCAUGUUCGGGUAGAGAUGGAUGUGGGGAUGGUACUGAUGAAAGCCAUUGCUCAGUCUGUAGGUGCCCCGUUGUUCAAGGCCGAAACUUAUAGUUCAUUUAAUUCCUUUUUGAACUUUGUACAAUGCCAAAAAUUUUGUAAAUUGUUUCUAUUACAAUAAAUUCAUACAUAUUGUAAUAUGUAGUUCUAAGUACCUUUUAUAUAUACUUUGUUAGUUAGACUUUU